UACGUAGGAGACGAGCGUUGUCCGGAAUACUGGGCGUAAAGCGCGUGUAGGCGGAUGAGCAAGUCUGCUGUGAAAGCUCCUGGCUUAACCGGGAGUGGUCGGUGGAAACUGCUCGUCUGGAGGACGGUAGAGGUAGGUAGAAUUCCCGGUGUAGUGGUGAAAUGCGUAGAGAUCGGGAGGAAUACCUGUGGCGAAGGCGGCCUACUGGGCCGGACCUGACGCUGAGACGCGAAGGCGUGGGGGAGCGAACGGG
rnacentral:rRNA from 1 species